GCAAGUCGAACGGCAGCGCGGGGAGCUUGCUUUCUGGCGGCGAGUGGCGGACGGGUGAGUAACGCGGGGGAAUCUGCCCUGUAGUGGGGGAUAACGCGGGGAAACUCGGGCUGAUACCGCAUACGACCUUCGGGUGAAAGUGGCUCUUUCGGGGGACACGCUAUAGGAUGAGCCUGCGUCCGAUUAGCUAGUUGGUGAGGUAAAGGCUCACCAAGGCGACGAUCGGUAGCUGGUCUGAGAGGAUAAUC
rnacentral:rRNA from 1 species